UACGUAGGGUGCGAGCGUUAAUCGGAAUUACUGGGCGUAAAGCGUGCGCAGGCGGUUGUGCAAGACAGAUGUGAAAUCCCCGGGCUUAACCUGGGAAUGGCCUUUGUGACUGCACGGCUAGAGUGUGUCAGAGGGGGGUAGAAUUCCACGUGUAGCAGUGAAAUGCGUAGAGAUGUGGAGGAAUACCGAUGGCGAAGGCAGCCCCCUGGGAUAACACUGACGCUCAGGCACGAAAGCGUGGGGAGCAAACAGG
rnacentral:rRNA from 1 species